rnacentral:rRNA from 1 species
UACGGAGGGAGCUAGCGUUGUUCGGAAUUACUGGGCGUAAAGCGCACGUAGGCGGCUUUGUAAGUUAGAGGUGAAAGCCCGGGGCUCAACUCCGGAACUGCCUUUAAGACUGCAUCGCUUGAAUCCAGGAGAGGUGAGUGGAAUUCCGAGUGUAGAGGUGAAAUUCGUAGAUAUUCGGAAGAACACCAGUGGCGAAGGCGGCUCACUGGACUGGUAUUGACGCUGAGGUGCGAAAGCGUGGGGAGCAAACAGGAUUAGAUACCCCCGGU